rnacentral:hammerhead_ribozyme from 1 species
AUCCAGUUGACAAGUCUCAAAUAGGACGAAACGCGCGUCAAACUGGAU